rnacentral:tRNA from 1 species
GCCGGCGUAGCUCAAGCGGUGGAGCAACUGACUUGUAAUCAGUAGGUUAUGGGUUCGAGUCCCAUCGCCGGCU